CAUACAGCACCCUGGAAGCCCCGCCCACCAGGGUCAUGAAUCACCAAUUGACACAAUAUAACCUACAUGUACUACGCAGGUCCAUUUAAAACAAAGAUGUCUCCUUAGAUGAAAUGAGCCAGGUCCAUUUAAAACAAAGAUGCCUACUUAGAUGAAAUGAACCGGGUCCAUUUAAAACAAAGAUGCCUCCUUAGAUGAAAUGAACCAGGUCCAUUUAAAACAAAGAUGACAAUUUUCACACACGGUCACCCAAAGGUAGUUGGAACACUGACAUUCUCCUCCACAGUUAGUCCUUCAUAGGCCUCUGUCAAAUGUAGUGUACUGUCUACAGGUUAGGGUGUCACAUUAGGGUGAGAUUUGCGCCUCUCACUUGUGGUUCACACCUCUGAACUCUAGCUGGUUUCAACCGGUCGAAUUGCAGCCAACAUGCAACUUUUGGUACAAAGGUUAUUUCAGAGAAAGGACCCAGGACAUUGUGUACAUCUGAAAUGGUGUGACUACUUCUACUCUAUACAAAGGUCAUAGUAUUUCAUUUUCUUAAUCUAUUGUAAUUCAGUAUAUAUUACUGUUGUACUGUGACAGUAUAAUAACUGGUGGUAGUAUAGUAAUAGUAUAGUGACCAUGACAGUAUAAUAACUAGUGGUAGUAUAGUAAUAGUAUAGUGACUGUUACUGUAUAAUAACUGAUGGUAGUAUAGUAAUAGUAUCGUGACUGUUACCGUAUAAUAACUGGUGGUAGUAUAGUAAUAGUAUAGUGACUGUUACAGUAUAAUAACUGGUGGUUAAUCUCCAUGUUGUUACAAAUCACUUUCUUCUGUUCAUUCUCAUGGGCUUCGUCCAACAACAUGUGCUUCUGCAAGGAGAUGUGUUCAGGUGAAGAUAUUCUGGUUGAAACUAAAGGGGGCAAGAAUGUAAGUCAAGGUAGAUACAGUAUAGAAGACUAUGGAAAUGGACAUGUCACUGUGACCAUCAAGGACCUGAAGAAGUCAGACUCUAGGACAUACUGGUGUUUUUUUGUGCGUGAGUUCAGUACUCACUCAGAGUUCCAGCAUUUAAACAGUCACCUUGCCAGGUCUGUGUGUUGAGGCUUCACCUUUCAUUAGGGAGGAGGUAGAAGGAGGAUUUGUCACUUUCCCCUGUUCAUUCUCAUGGGCUUCGUCCAACAACAAGUACUUCUGCAAUGAGACGUGUUCUGCUGAAAAUAUUCUGGUUGAAACUAAAGGGAACAGGAAUGUAACUGAAGGUAGAUACAGUAUACAUGAUUUUGGAGACGGAGUAUUUUUCGUGACCAUCAAGGACCUGAAGAAGUCAGACUCUGGGACAUACUGGUGUGGAGUGGAAAGUGUUGGGGCGGACACAUACCAAGAGCUAUAUCUGACUGUUACUGAUUAUGUUUUUGUUGGGACCACUGAUGCUCCCAAAACAGGUCUAAUGGUGUGGACCAGUGUUAGUCUGGUAGUCAUGGUGACGGUAAUGGGACUGGUCCUGGCUCUGUUGUGUAUAAAGAGGAGAGGAUGCAGGAGAUCAACAUCUCCACAGCUGGUCUACAAAAACACCAACACUGCCCCUAGUGGAGAGGUUGACAGGUUGUAUGCGAAUACCAGAACGCCAAAGAAAGAGAGAUACACAGUCCCUAGGAACUCACCUAACGCCUCAACCACCUACCCUGCUGACCACGCCUCUAAAUCCUACCCUGCUGACCACGCCUCUACAAUAUACCCUGCUGACCACACCUCUACAAUCUACCCUCCUGGCCACACCUCUUCAACACGCCUUCCUGGCCACACCUCUACAACCUACCCUGCUGGUCAAGUCACAAGUAGCUCACACUUUGAAAUCUAUGUCAAUGUCACAGAUUUGAAUGUACUUUGUGAUUCUUGUGUAAUGUAAAAAGUGUAUUAUUUUAAUAUUGGUUU